GACGAACCGUGCGAACGUUGUUCGGAAUCACUGGGCUUAAAGGGCGCGUAGGCGGGCCAUCAAGUCCGGGGUGAAAUCCUUCGGCUUAACCGGAGAAUUGCCUUGGAUACUGGUGGUCUUGAGGGAAGUAGGGGUCUGCGGAACUUCCGGUGGAGCGGUGAAAUGUGUUGAUAUCGGAAGGAACGCCGGUGGCGAAAGCGGCGGACUGGGCUUCUUCUGACGCUGAGGCGCGAAAGCUAGGGGAGCAAACGGG
rnacentral:rRNA from 1 species